UACGUAGGGCGCAAGCGUUGUCCGGAAUUAUUGGGCGUAAAGAGCUCGUAGGCGGUGUGUCACGUCGUUCGUGAAAACCUGCAGCUUAACUGUGGGCGUGCGGUCGAUACGGGCAUCACUGGAGUUCGGCAGGGGAGACUGGAAUUCCUGGUGUAGCGGUGAAAUGCGCAGAUAUCAGGAGGAACACCGGUGGCGAAGGCGGGUCUCUGGGCCGAUACUGACGCUGAGACGCGAAAGCGUGGGGAGCAAACAGG
rnacentral:rRNA from 1 species